AAACUGAUGAGCAAAAAAAAUGUUUAUUUCCACUAAAGAAUCGAGUAACCGCUUUCAUGGUUGUAUAUGUUGCAAAGGAUAUAAAUAUGAAACUACCAAACCCCCAUUUGGAUUCUUGCACCAACCACAACCAACACAAGGGGAAGCCAAUCAAAAUUAAUAGACAAAAUGGGCAGUACAUUAUUCUUUUACAUUGACAAACACUACAUGGUUGAAUCAGCUCAGUCGACGAGAAGUCAGCGUGGACGAUGCGGUCAGACAGACAGGACUGGACUAUGGAAAGGGACCGGGCAAAGGAUGCACAAUCUUCACAGGUGCGCCUAAGUACUUACGGAUGAAGAUCGUAUAUGCUUAUUCGCCUUGCAAACAGUAAAGUUGGCGCAUAUUUCCUGAAGCUGGACACAAGAUUUAAUACAUCUAAUUGUCGACUCCAACAGUUUAUCUGAACAGCAAAUGAAACAAUUUUUGCAAUGAAAGAAAGUCUGAUGGGGGAAACUGAAAACAUAAAGACCAGGUCGAUCAUAUAGUUGAGUUUGUGUGACACCCCAAAAAUUUGGCCUUGUUUUAAUGAAUUAAAAUUUCUGCCAGGAAUUAAAACUUUGGAUAUCUGAGCUCCUUUUUGAUUUUUUUUUAAAUCAUUUCCUUCCCUGUUAUGAUGAGUUUUUCCCAAAGAGAAAACUUUGCAAAUAUGUUAUUGGACUUGUUUAACCUCUCAAGAAAAACUUCCCUUUAAUCAGUGUAACUAAUUAAAUAAUUAAGUUGCUUGAUCUUUAUUUUCUUGAAAAUGGUUUUUCAAGGUUAAAUGGCCAUAUUUGAACUACAACAAUUUGAUAAAUUCACUUAAAAUUCCAACUAAAAUUUGGAGAUGUCAUGUGAUGUUUUUAAAUCACUAUUAUGCAAAAAUAUAUUUCAUUCAUGAAAUAUUUUGAGCCCUGCACUCAAUUCUUCUUCUCUGGUCCAGAGUGCAUUUUGCACUACAACCCAUUUAAAUAUUUCUUCCUGGCCUCCAACAAAAUUAUGGGAAAUUGGUGAUGGCCUAAGAUUCCACAUUGUGCAAAAAUCCAGGGUUGUUCUUUGAAAAUAUUGAGUGAAUCAACCUCAUUUCCAUUCUGGACCAACUUGAUGAUUUGUACAGCAACCACCAUUUUAGUUGCUCCUAUAUCCAUGAUUAUUUCUCCUGCUUGUAGUCCCCCAUGUUAAACCCUUAAAUUCAGGAGCAUGCACCUUUUGGAUCAUUUUUGGUUCAUGAAAUGAUGCCAUUUGCUUCCUGUCCAGGAUUGAAGUUUUGUAAAACUUACACUAGCAAGUUUCUGCUUUUGGCCAACUAACCUCACCACCCUCUUUUACAUCUAAAGAGACCCCCAUCUAGAGUUUUUGGCCACUCCAAGACUUGCCUAAGUGCCCUUAGCAUUUUUGUCAAACACCUGGAGUGCAUGACCAGUUUUGACAUGAGUUGUGGCAUUGCACUGUGAACUUGCACCUCUGAUCAAACUAGCAUGUCCACUAGACUCCCCGUUACUCCUAACCUGGGUCUGUUAAUUGCCCGCCUCGACCGCGACCUCUAGCAUGCUCUGGCAUUACGUCGAGCACGUUCCGUGCACGCCCGGAGCGCGAGCAGAGCGUGCGUUUGACACGCACGUGCGCCGAGCCGACACGCUGGCCCCCACGGUUUUGGCCCACACUGCAGAGCCUCGCCACGCACUCCCUUUCUCACCGCUACGCGCCAAGCCGCCCCUCGCCACGCCCGGCAAGCCAAGAGCUAGCCGCCGCCGCCGCCCGACAGCCUCUGCCCAUGUCGGCGCCGCCAAAGCCACCUCCGCUUGCCAGCUCGCCCCUGGAGCAGUGCCCACUCGUCCGCUAGCUCCUGCCGUCAUCCCCAGCCACGCCACGUUGCCCUGCAAGCUACAGAGAGGCGGUUCGCCGGAGAGCUUAUCCGGCCGCCGCGGAACCGACCUCGACGAGCUAUAAAAGGAGGCCCCCGAGCCUCCCCGAGCACAGAGGAAGCCUUAGAAUGCUCCCCUAGUCCUCCCAUGGCAGACAAUCGACCCGGGGGAGGUCUUCUUCCCCAUCUCCGGCAACUGCAGCCGCCACCACUGCCCCGGCCAAUUCGGCACCACCAGGGCCUCCCACUCUCCGUUCUCUCCACCAAGAGCCCCCUCAUCCUCCCGUAAACCAUUCCCACUACUCGAUUUUGAUCGAGGACCACCGUAGCCCCAAAACCACUCUGCUCCCGAAGCUCCCCUCCGCCGCGAAGCUCACCGCCGAUGACUCUUUCCACCCCCGUCUACCCAGCGACCACCGGAAGGACCGCCGCAGUCUCGCGGAUCCAUCCAGACCCUCUGGAACCCGCGGGGAGCCACCGUUCGCCGGCGGCGAUCGCCGUUGCCUCGCCUCCGCUCGGGAUAGAGAAAGAGGAGGGAGGGAUAGACUGGUCAAACCUGACCAGUGGGCCCUCUGGACCCACUGUCAGCGACCCCGUGCCUGUCCACGUUGGAUUAAGUGAAGGCGUAUUUUCCCCAGUACGUUUUCCCCGCUCCGAAAGCGUAUUCACCUCCGAAACGUUUUCUUUUCUGUUUUAUUUAAAAACAGAUUUUGACCACAACUUUGACUGGUUAUAUCUUUUUAAAUAUAACUCCAAAUGAGUUGAUUCUUUUUCCUACCUUUCUCAAAUUUGGUCUAGUUUAUUUUAAGAUUUAUUUGAAAAAAAAAUUAAACAACUUUUUGGUACUGUUUUUGAAAUGUGUGUUAAUUCAAAUAUAUUUUUAAAUAGGAUUUUGGGGAGAGAGAAGAAGCUUUCAAAAGUUUUGGAGAGCACCCCACCCCUCCACAACAUUGAAGGCAAGCAUUCUGAAUCCCGGCAUAAUAUUUUUGGUGUGAUCGUGGAUACAUUUAUAACACCACCGCAUUUCGAAGGACUCGUUAUUUCAUGUGGUAUGAUCAUAUGCAUGAGUGCAUAUUAGUGAUUUCCAGGCUGUUGGAAAUGAACACACUUGUGAUAAUAAUCACCCUCAUGUGCCUUGCAUGCAUACCGGCAGGAACCUGGGAAAACCUCUGCCUUGGGUAGGCAUGAGUUUGUCGCCGGUCUCCGUCGGGACGGUUAUGUCUGGUAUGGCAUGGUAAGGUGAUAUGAGCGGUGACUCUGUUGGUUGAAAUAUAUAUUCGUUAUACUAAUCAUGCAGGGAAUGCUUAAACCUCCUGAGUCGACCGUAGAUCGAGUCUUGAGCCAGUAACCCCCAUACUUGUUUAGUGCUACCACUCGUCUCUACAGCAAGUAGAGUACGGUUUAGUAAGUUGUCAACCUCUUUCUAGCACACACCGUACAGAGAGGCCAUGGUGGAAGAUACCGGUUGUAGCUGGUAGGCAAGCCACCUGGUCCGGGGGCAUGGGUGUUUCCAGUUGGGACCGAGAGGGGAGGCCACCCCUUAGAGCGCGCGAUAUAAAUUUGAUCCCAUGCUACGCGAGGUUGUAGCCUCCCCACUUAGAGUUUGCUUAACAGGUGUCGUGGGUGGUUCCAGACACGUGUGAGUUAAGCUGGUGUGUGCAAGUUAGGUGUGUUUUCAACAAAAAAGACCGUAGACGGAAUUAGUCCCGAUGGACUAAAGAAAUCCGUUACUCGUGGGUAAAGAGUACACCCUCUGCAGACAAUAAAUCUAUUCGAAUAGCCGUGUCCAUGGUUAAGGAUGACAGUCUGGGAUGGGUCAAGUGCCGGUCUUAGUGUCGGUCUUCGGAGGUAAAACGGUUAACCAGAAAUGGAAUUACUACUCGUGACUUGUGAUAACUAUGAUUAUUAUUAUUGUUGACUAACCCGUGAUAUUAUUGUUAUUAUCGAGUAUCUCUGGGAUGGUUCUACCUCCGGGAUAUUCACUAUGAUUGUUUCUUUUAAAGCCCUUUAUGUGGUGUCGCUCAGACGCCCGACUGUGGCAUUUCUUUUAAAGCCCUUUAUGUGGUGUCGCUCAGACGCCCGAUUGUGGCAUUUCUUUUAAAGCCCUUUAUGUGGUGUCGCUCAGACGCCCGACUGUGGCAUUUCUUUUAAAGCCCUUUAUUUGGUGUCGCUCAGACNNNNNNNNNNNNNNNNNNNNNNNNNNNNNNNNNNNNNNNNNNNNNNNNNNNNNNNNNNNNNNNNNNNNNNNNNNNNNNNNNNNNNNNNNNNNNNNNNNNNNNNNNNNNNNNNNNNNNNNNNNNNNNNNNNNNNNNNNNNNNNNNNNNNNNNNNNNNNNNNNNNNNNNNNNNNNNNNNNNNNNNNNNNNNNNNNNNNNNNNNNNNNNNNNNNNNNNNNNNNNNNNNNNNNNNNNNNNNNNNNNNNNNNNNNNNNNNNNNNNNNNNNNNNNNNNNNNNNNNNNNNNNNNNNNNNNNNNNNNNNNNNNNNNNNNNNNNNNNNNNNNNNNNNNNNNNNNNNNNNNNNNNNNNNNNNNNNNNNNNNNNNNNNNNNNNNNNNNNNNNNNACUGUGGCAUUCCUUUAAAGCCCUUUUUGUGGUGUCGCUCAGACGCCCGACUGUGGCAUUUCUUUUAAAAGCCCUUUAUGUGGUGUCGCUAAGACGCCCGACUGUGGCAUUGCAUUGUUAUUUGUUUCAUAAAUUUUAAUACUACCAUGUUAUUGCAUUUUUAUAAAUAACUUGCUUGCACGCAUCAGAGUUUCAUUUAUCUUUUGUGACUGACGUCAUGAGCAUAAAAUAUUUUUAGCACAUCAUUGUUACAUUAUACCUGUGUUCUUAAUGUUUGCGAGUACAUUCAAAGUACUCACUGGCUUGUCCCUGGCUAUUGUCUUGGCCAGACUUUCUUGCUCGGAGAGGAGCGACGCGAUGCCAGCCCCGAAACCCACACAAUGGAGAUAGCAACCUCGCGAAGAUAGGAGUUAACCUGGUCAGCUGUUUCUGUGGAAAAUGGAGCCCCAUAGGCACUGAUGUUUCACAGACCGCUUCCGCCAUCAACCACUAGAAACCAUUUGUUGUACUCACAGACCAGAAUGGUCUUGUACUACAUAUGUUGUAUUCUGCUUGGAAUUUCUGUAUUAAGUUGGAGCCUCAUCAGCUAACAGUAAUCCUGGGGCUGAUGAGCACGACGGUCUUUUCUGGAAAUUUAUGUCUGGAGAACCGGUCGUGGCAGACUUGGUAUCAGAGCCAGGCUGACCAUUGGCUAAUCCUAUCUUAGCCAGGUCGAAAAACUUAGGCAAACCAACCCACUAGACCUUAGCCAAACCCCAGCCAAGCUUCUCGUGCAAGAUAGCCACACAGUGACCCAACACCUUUUUGGCAGUCGGUGCCCAACCUAUCAACCUAACCUGUCACUCAUGCGCCAGUGACCGGCCCCUAAAUAGUCCUUUCUCGCAAGCGUGCGAAGGAAGACUCCGCCCCCUUUUUCCUAUAAAAAGGGCACGCUAGUCCCAACACAGCACCGCACAGCCGCUAACCCAAACCGAGCCACAAUGCCUGGACCCAUAGUGCACAACGAGACCACAGCAACCAACCUUGGAGAUUUUGUGACCAUACUCGCAAACCUCACCCGUCGUGCCUAUGCGUUAGAAGAGCCACCAGACUAUGUUGUGUAUCAAGGACCCAUGAGCGGUGAAGACCGUCAAUUCUGGGCCACUGUGCACAUCUACGGUAGGGGUCUAGCACCCGAGCGCCCCUACAGGUUCACUGGAAGGACAACUUCCUUUGAGCCACAAGCCAUCCAGCUAGCCGCUCGAGAGGCUAUAGUUCAUCUCAGGCACUUGUCGCCCAGAGUUAACUGUCGCUCGUUCCACUACUACCCCAGACGUGAAGGGUAUGGUAGACCACCCCAAGUUGCCAACGGAGAUCACGAGACGGACCCCGCAUUAUUACACCUAGUGCGCUAUGUAAGUGCACUAGAGGCACUGUUCGAUCAGAUCACUAUUGAUCUAAUCGCAGCUCGUGGAGAGCUGGUUCGUCGAGCCCCAGCGAGAGAAGAAAACGAGCCCAACACCGACAACCCAGUCGUGCUGUUUGGACAACCGAUCGAGACCCCGAGAUCUGCCUCAGCCAUCGGCCAAGGUGCUGCGAUAACCCCAGAGGUGCUUCGUCGCAUAUUGGGAGCACACUCCAACGGGGUUGUGGCCAACAAUCCCCGCGAUGGUCACCAUCACUACCCCGACCCUGCAGUUCCUCCGCCAUCUCCGACUAAUCCCGGCAGAGAGACACGUGGAGAAGCCUCAACAUCCACCAGGCACGCCCGUUUAGACAUAAACGAGGUAGACUAAGCCGUAUGAGUAGCACCGAGUUUCAGUGUAUCCUCGCUUUGUAAUCAUGCGACCGUGUAUAUUAACGCAGCCUGUCGUUGUGCCUCUGUUUUAAUAGUAGCCUUGCAUAUUUGGUCAGCGCAUAGCUGCAUAUUUUUCCGGGCACAACUACCAAAACCAACCCGACGACAACCACAGUAACACGUCUCUUUAUGAGAUAUGUGUAUCUCUGACACUGACCCGACCUUUGGAGCGAAGCUGGCAAAUUUAUUACCUUUCACCACGGUAAAACGAUCCGGCUCCAUUGCUAUAUAAAGGCCACCUUGUGACCUUACCCAGCAACCCCCACUUUGUGCACCACACUCACACUUUUUCCUGUCAUGCCGAGCCCCAGCAUUCAUCUGAGAACCCUAGAUGCAACCCCAGGUAGCUUUGUCAAAAUAUUGUGGGAUUUUACCCGCAGUACCAUGGGUUCUACCCAGCCACCUCAGUACGAGCUGUUCAAAUCAAGGAUCACCCCAUCCACCUCGGAAUAUUGGGCAGCAGUACAUAUCCCUCCCGUAGACUCCAAUCAAGAUCCAACGGAAGUUUCCUUCAUGGGGAAAUCUAUGCCAACCCCACACCUGGCCAUAGAAGCUGCUGCGAAAGAAGCGAUUGCUCGUCUUCGAUCCGCAGUACCCUAUGCCCGCGAACGAGGAUAUUAUUACUUUCCGAGUCGUGUAGCACCCGGAGAAGUAACAUCUUUUCCCGGUGGACGUAUUGAAAGAGACCCAGUUCUGGCCAACCUUAUCCAGUACAUCAUUGCUCAAGAGCAUUUGAACCAGCGAGUGAUGGAUUAUCUCCAGAGCCUCGCAGAUUUAAAUCCUCAGAUUGCCAUCGGCAGACCACUGAGACCCGACCCGGAGAGACGCAUACAUCGACUGGUCAAUCCACUGCCUACGAUAGAAGAAGAGUGUAUUCCUUUACCAGAGACAUUUUUUCAGGACCCCGUCCAGUUACCGUUUUCAUUUUAGACGUCACUAGUGUAUUUGUUUUUGCAGCAUUUAUAUUUGCGGGUAUCUUAUGCAUGGUAUCCCAAAUUUGUGCGACGAGUCAAUUAUUUUGGCUUCUUCUAAUGUGUGUAGUUUUUGUUGUGGUUUAUGCUCCUUUAAAUUAACUGUUUUUCCCUCGCAAAAUCCUGGAGUGGGGUUUCUUUUCCCUGAGUUGCUACACCUGCCCUUCUCACGACGUGGAUUAAUUAAUUUCACACAGCACCACGCAGCAGACUCACAACCAUAAUAAUUCGGAUACAUACACUGUUUGCAAAACCUUGCAAUGGUGUUACAUCCAGCUAAUCACCCCCUAACAACAGUUAGCACCCGGCACACUCCAUCUACUCCUCAUGAUCACUACCACCGCGGAGAGCCAACACCCGAGCCGCAGCGUCACGACACUCGUCGUAGAUCAUCGCGCACAGGAGCACAGAGAGCCCCAGCAGUGUCGCCAGCCCUCCGCAUAUCAGGAUCACAAACCAGUCCGGCAUCGCCUCCACCAUUAGAGCCUCACCUGAGCUUCUGUAAGCAGUAAUGGAGAAAGGAGGAGGAGAAGUGAGGCCAGGUGUGAGGAAGAAGAGAGAGGCACCCCGGCCGUUUUAUAGCUCGAGCUCGGUGUACGAUGGGCGAAGUCCACCAACGCCGCUCGUCGCCGAACGCCGGUGUUCGGAGUCGAAUCCGCGAGCAGUGCCGACAGCGCGCUGGCCCGCGAGGUGAGUGCACGCUGCACCGGCAGCUAGCACGCCGCGCACUACCACGGUACGGCCUAGAUGCCCUACGCAUUAGGCAUCGCCGGUGGAGAUAGCGCGAGAAAGCGCGCGGGAGAGAAGAGGUAGAAGGAAGAGCCAGAGGGAGAAGAGGAGACUGACAGUGGACCCCGGGUUCACCUGUCAGCCAGAGGGAGCACUGUGCUCUCGGGUACGACCAGCGUAUAUUUAAAUUUAGGAGUUAUUCUAAAUUUAUAUCCAGCGUAGAAAUCUGACGUUUUUGUCCCGAACCGUAGACUCUUCCACGCAGCACCAGUUUUCACACUGUGGUUUUUCACCACUUAUUGCCCUCUCACUAUAGCCACAUCUUUAUUGCAUAAUUAUUUUCUUAACACCGCUUUUAGCAAAUCUCGAGGACGAGAUUUUUCUUAAGGGGGAUAGUAUUGUGACACCCCAAAAAUUUGGCCUUGUUUUAAUGAAUUAAAAUUUCUGCCAGGAAUUAAAACUUUGGAUAUCUGAGCUCCUUUUUGAUUUUUUUAAAUCAUUUCCUUCCCUGUUAUGAUGAGUUUUUCCCAAAGAGAAAACUUUGCAAAUAUGUUAUUGGACUUGUUUAACCUCUCAAGAAAAACUUUCCUUUUAUCAGUGUAACUAAUUAAAUAAUUAAGUUGCUUGAUCUUUAUUUUCUUGAAAAUGGUUUUUCAAGGUUAAAUUGCCAUAUUUGAACUACAACCAUUUGAUAAAUUCACUUAAAAUUCCAACCAAAAUUUGGAGAUGUCAUGUGAUGUUUUUAAAUCACUAUUAUUGAAAAAUAUAUUUCAUUCAUGAAAUAUUUUGAGCCCUGCACUCAAUUCUUCUUCUCUGGUCCAGAGUGCAUUUUGCACUACAACCCAUUUAAAUAUUUCUUCCUGGCCUCCACCAAAAUUAUGGGAUAUUGGUAAUGGCCUAAGAUUCCACUUUGUGCAAAAAUCCAGGGUUGUUCUUUGAAAAUAUUGAGUGAAUCAACCUCAUUUCCAUUCUGGACCAACUUGAUGAUUUGUACAGCAACCACCAUUUUAGUUGCUCCUAUAUCCAUGAUUAUUUCUCCUGCUUGUAGUCCCCCAUGUUAAACCCUUAAAUCCAGGAGCAUGCACCUUUUGGAUCAUUUUUGGUUCAUGAAAUGAUGCCAUUUGCUUCCUGUCCAGGAUUGAAGUUUUGUAAAACUUACACUAGCAAGUUUCUGCUUUUGGCCAACUAACCUCACCACCCUCUUUUACAUCUAAAGAGACCCCCAUCUGGAGUUUUUGGCCACUCCAAGACUUGCCUAAGUGCCCUUAGCAUUUUUGUCAAACACCUGGAGUGCAUGACCAGUUUUGACAUGAGUUGUGGCAUUGCACUGUGAACUUGCACCUCUGAUCAAACUAGCAUGUCCACUAGACUCCCCGUUACUCCUAACCUGGGUCUGUUAAUUGCCCGCCUCGACCGCGACCUCUAGCAUGCUCUGGCAUUACGUCGAGCACGUUCCGUGCACGCCCGGAGCGCGAGCAGAGCGUGCGUUUGACACGCACGUGCGCCGAGCCGACACGCUGGCCCCCACGGUUUUGGCCCACACUGCAGAGCCUCGCCACGCACUCCCUUUCUCACCGCUACGCGCCAAGCCGCCCCUCGCCAUGCCCGGCAAGCCAAGAGCUAGCCGCCGCCGCCGCCCGACAGCCUCUGCCCAUGUCGGCGCCGCCAAAGCCACCUCCGCUCGCCAGAUCGCCCCUGGAGCAGUGCCCACUCGUCCGCUAGCUCCUGUCGUCAUCCCCAGCCACGCCACGUUGCCCUGCAAGCUACAGAGAGGCGGUUCGCCGGAGAGCUUAUCCGGCCGCCGCGGAACCGACCUCGACGAGCUAUAAAAGGAGGCCCCCGAGCCUCCCCGAGCACAGAGGAAGCCUUAGAAUGCUCCCCUAGUCCACCCAUGGCAGCCAAUCGACCCGGGGGAGGUCUUCUUCCCCAUCUCCGGCAACUGCAGCCGCCACCACUGCCCCGGCCAAUUCGGCACCACCAGGGCCUCCCACUCUCCGUUCUCUCCACCAAGAGCCCCCUCGUCCUCCUGUAAACCAUUCCCACUACUCGAUUUUGAUCGAGGACCACCGUAGCCCCAAAACCACUCUGCUCCCGAAGCUCCCCUCCGCCGCGAAGCUCACCGCCGAUGACUCUUUCCACCCCCGUCUACCCAGCGACCACCGGAAGGACCGCCGCAGUCUCGCUGAUCCAUCCAGACCCUCUGGAACCCGCGGGGAGCCACCGUUCGCCGGCGGCGAUCGCCGUUGCCUCGCCUCCGCUUAGGACAGAGAAAGAGGAGGGAGGGAUAGACUGGUCAAACCUGACCAGUGGGCCCUCUGGACCCACUGUCAGCGACCCCGUGCCUGUCCACGUGGGAUUAAGUGAAGGUGUAUUUUCCCCAGUAAGUUUUCCCCGCUCCGAAAGCGUAUUCACCUCCGAAACGUUUUCUUUUAUGUUUUAUUUAAAAACAGAUUUUGACCACAACUUUGACUGGUUAUAUCUUUUUAAAUAUAACUCCAAAUGAGUUGAUUCUUUUUCCUACCUUUCUCAAAUUUGGUCUAGUUUAUUUUAAGAUUUAUUUGAAAAAAAAAUUAAACAACUUUUUGGUACUGUUUUUGAAAUGUGUGUUAAUUCAAAUAUAUUUUUAAAUAGGAUUUUGGGGAGAGAGAAGAAGCUUUCAAAAGUUUUGGAGAGCACCCCACCCCUCCACAACAUUGAAGGCAAGCAUUCUGAAUCCCGGCAUAAUAUUUUUGGUGUGAUCGUGGAUACAUUUAUAACACCACCGUAUUUCGAAGGACUCGUUAUUUCAUGUGGUAUGAUCAUAUGCAUGAGUGCAUAUUAGUGAUUUCCAGGCUGUUGGAAAUAAACACACUUGUGAUAAUAAUCACCCUCAUGUGCCUUGCAUGCAUACCGGCAGGAACCCGGGAAAACCUCUACCUUGGGUAGGCAUGAGUUUGUCGCCGGUCUCCGUCGGGACGGUUAUGUCUGGUAUGGCAUGGUAAGGUGAUAUGAGCGGUGACUCUAUUGGUUGAAAUAUAUAUUCGUUAUACUAAUCAUGCAGGGAAUGCUUAAACCUCCUGAGUCGACCGUAGAUCGAGUCUUGAGCCAGUAACCCCCAUACUUGUUUAGUGCUACCACUCGUCUCUACAGCAAGUAGAGUACGGUUCAGUAAGUUGUCAACCUCUUUCUAGCACACACCAUACAGAGAGGCCAUGGUGGAAGAUACCGGUUGUAGCUGGUAGGCAAGCCACCUGGUCCGGGGGCAUGGGUGUUUCCGGUUGGGACCGAGAGGGGAGGCCACCCCUUAGAGCGCGCGAUAUAAAUUUGAUCCCAUGCUAUGCGAGGUUGUAGCCUCCCCACUUAGAGUUUGCUUAACAGGUGUCGUGGGUGGUUCCAGACACGUGUGAGUUAAGCUGGUGUGUGCAAGUUAGGUGUGUUUUCAACAAAAAAGACCGUAGACGGAAUUAGUCCCGAUGGACUAAAGAAAUCCGUUACUCGUGGGUAAAGAGUACACCCUCUGCAGAGAAUAAAUCUAUUCGAAUAGCCGUGUCCAUGGUUAAGGAUGACAGUCUGGGAUGGGUCAAGUGUCGGUCUUAGUGUCGGUCUUCGGAGGUAAAACGGUUAACCAGAAAUGGAAUUACUACUCGUGACUUGUGAUAACUAUGAUUAUUAUUAUUGUUGACUAACCCGUGAUAUUAUUGUUAUUAUCGAGUAUCUCUGGGAUGGUUCUACCUCCGGGAUAUUCACUAUGAUUGUUUCUUUUAAAGCCCUUUAUGUGGUGUCGCUCAGACGCCCGACUGUGGCAUUUCUUUUAAAGCCCUUUAUGUGGUAUCGCUCAGACGCCCGACUGUGGCAUUUCUUUUAAAGCCCUUUAUGUGGUGUCGCUCAGACGCCCGACAGUGGCAUUUCUUUUAAAGCCCUUUAUGUGGUGUCGCUCAGACGCCCGAUUGUNNNNNNNNNNNNNNNNNNNNNNNNNNNNNNNNNNNNNNNNNNNNNNNNNNNNNNNNNNNNNNNNNNNNNNNNNNNNNNNNNNNNNNNNNNNNNNNNNNNNNNNNNNNNNNNNNNNNNNNNNNNNNNNNNNNNNNNNNNNNNNNNNNNNNNNNNNNNNNNNNNNNNNNNNNNNNNNNNNNNNNNNNNNNNNNNNNNNNNNNNNNNNNNNNNNNNNNNNNNNNNNNNNNNNNNNNNNNNNNUUCUUUUAAAAGCCCUUUAUGUGGUGUCGCUCAGACGCCCGACUGUGGCAUUUCUUUUAAAGCCCUUUAUGUGGUGUCGCUCGGACGCCCAACUGUGGCAUUCCUUUAAAGCCCUUUUUGUGGUGUCGCUCAGACGCCCGACUGUGGCAUUUCUUUUAAAAGCCCUUUAUGUGGUGUCGCUAAGACGCCCGACUGUGGCAUUGCAUUGUUAUUUGUUUCAUAAAUUUUAAUACUACCAUGUUAUUGCAUUUUUAUAAAUAACUUGCUUGCACGCAUCAGAGUUUCAUUUAUCUUUUGUGACUGACGUCAUGAGCAUAAAAUAUUUUUAGCACAUCAUUGUUACAUUAUACCUGUGUUCUUAAUGUUUGCGAGUACAUUCAAAGUACUCACCGGCUUGUCCCUGGCUAUUGUCUUGGCCAGACUUUCUUGCUCGGAGAGGAGCGACGCGAUGCCAGCCCCGGAACCCACACAAUGGAGAUAGCAGCCUCGCGAAGAUAGGAGUUAACCUGGUCAGCUGUUCCUGUGGGAAAUGGAGCCCCAUAGGCACUGAUGUUUCACAGACCGCUUCCGCCAUCAACCACUAGAAACCAUUUGUUGUACUCACAGACCAGAAUGGUCUUGCACUACAUAUGUUGUAUUCUGCUUGGAAUUUCUGUAUCAAGUUGGAGCUUCAUCAGCUAACAGUAAUCCUGGGGCUGAUGAGCACGACGGUCUUUUCUGGAAAUUUAUGUCCGGAGAACCGGUCGUGGCAGUUUGCUACUUCGGUUACAAAUACAAAUUCAUUCGGUUAAGUUUACCAAUUUUUGAGUCAAAUGAAAGAAUGCACCAAGAACCACAUUCUUAUCACUGUAUUAAAUAUUGUCCAUAUCACUUCAGAAAUGACGAACAAAGCAAUCAAGAACCAUGGCAAGCAUCAAGAACUGCACUAUUAUUAGUCUUGUCCAAGUCUCCCAAAUUGCGAACUUUACUAAUCCUGAAUCCUAACAGGGAUCCUGAACCAUUUUUUUAUCAGUGAGAGCAUUAGUUGUUCUUUAGAAAGUGGUUAGUGUCAGUUGAAUAUUAAUGGAAAAAUAAAUAUGACUACAUUAUGUACGGUUCCAAACACAUAUAUGAGAAAUCAAUAGUGAUAACUCCAGAAAAGCCAGUGCCAGAUCAUUGCUUGGAGUCAUAAUUAUCCACCAUACUGCACAAUGUAAGAUCAUAUGACCACUAACUAACUAGAGCGGAUAUUGCAUGAAAAUCAAGUUCUCACAUAUUACCAUGAGAUAGCGAGUGACAAUAGCAUGGACUUUUAAUUAACUUAUGUUUUCGAACAUGUAACCUAGUGUGAUUAAUUAGGAAUUUUAGCUUAUGUUAACAUAUAGUUUGCGAACAUGUAAUCUAGUGUGAUUAACUAGGAAUUUUAGCUUAUAUUAACAUAUAGUUUGCGAACGUGUAACCUAGUAUGAUUAACUAGGAAUUUUAGCUUAUAUUAAUAAUUUUCAAAGUAUUGUGCAAAUCCUCGGAUCAAAUAGAGUGCUCAGAUACGCAGCAAACACAUGUGUGUACCGUUUACUCAUAUACCGAUCUUCAUAGUGCAUUUUUAUAGUAUAAAUAGAAAUGAGCCAAGUUAAAGUGUGAAAGAUGUUUAUUCCCACUAAAGAAUGGAGUAACUGCUAUUCAUGGUUGUAUAUGUUACAAAGGAUGUAAAUAUGAAACUACCAAACUCCCGUUUGGAUCCUUGCACCACCCGCAGCCAACAAAGGGUGAAGCCAAAAUUAAUAGGCAAAAAUGGGCAGUACAAUUAUUUACUCCAUCUGUUUCUAAAUAUAAGUCUUUUUAGAGAUUUCAAUAUAAACGACAUACGGAUGUAUAUAGACAUACUUUAGAGUGUAGAUUCACUCAUUUUGCUCUGUAUGUAAUCUCUUAUUGGAAUCUCUAAAAAGACUUGCAUUUAGGAACGGAGGGUGUAUUUUACAUUGACAAGCAUGACACGUUGGAAUAUUGUUAGAAAUCAGGUUCAGUCAACCCUCUAUUCCUAUUAUGCAGUAGUGUUCAGCUCUCCUUUAUGCUUGGGGUUGCGACCACCUUUUAUUUCGUAUGCAUGAGACUAAUACUCGGUCAUAUAACUCAUGAACGUCAUCAGUACCCUAAUCAUAUAAAUCUACAAUAAAACUCUGAUAGCUCUUCAACCUACCUUCACCCUAGGCCUGUAUGGUUUGGCUGGGGUCUGCGGACGCAAUUUCCCGAGUUGCACCUAGUGUUAAUGAGAUAAAAUCCAUAACAAAAUGCAUAUCAAAAUUCUUAAUAAAUUGGGUUUGACUAGAUAUGCACAACAUGGUAGUAUAGGCAACCAUAUGUUGGUAACACAUCUAAUCUGUAUAUCCCUGGGCUGCAACCCUAUCUUGUGAGAUUGCAUCCACGGUGUAGAAUACACUCAUACACCGUUGCUGGGAUACAUAACUCCCAAAGAGAUUCAUUCACCCAGCAAGCACGAUUUGGCGGAAUACUACUGCAACCAUGCGCCCAUCAAACGGCGCUUCAUGGACUACUAGUACAACCUUGAAGACGUCAGUUGAUAUAAUAUUUCAUGGACCAUUAACUUGAAUUCUCGGUGUCUCCCUUUCCCACAUCGGCAUCUAUAUACACAUGGCAUUUGCUAAUCUCAUCAAUUUGCCGUUUCCAUCUCAUCUCUUGGUCGUGUGCCUACUUUGCUACUUCGGCAGCGUCACACAUGAAAGCUGUUGUUAUGUGGGUCCGCUGGUGCACGCAUUACAAACAAUGAUGAAGGUUGUGACGCUCUAGUGAGGCCAUUUAAAUAGGACAUACAGGCUAUGCAAAUCAGGGACAUCAUUCUGACCGGAGAGGAUGGCACAUGGAUAUUUUAAUUCAUGAAGAUCUUGAUGUCAACUUUGGACAUCAUUCUGACUGUACACACUUUGUUCCUAAAUGUAAGACAUAAUUUUGAACUGCCAAAUCGUCUUACAUUUAGGAACAGAGGGUGUAUUUUAUAGCGCUCUAUAAAUUAGCAUGUAACUCGUGAACAUCUAGCCUGGUGUGAUUAACAAUUUUAAAAGUCUUGGGCAAAUCUCCAGGGCAAACAGAGUGCAAAACAUACACAGCGAACACGUUUGCAUACCGCUUACUCAGUACACCAAUCUUGAAGAGUGCAUUUACAGUAUAAAUAGAAAUGGGCCAAACUGAUGAGCAAAAGAAAUGUUUAUUUCCACUAAAGAAUCGAGUAACCGCUUUCAUGGUCGUAUAUGUUACAAAGGAUAUAAAUAUGAAACUACCAAACCCCCAUUUGGAUCCUUGCACCAACCACAACCAACACAAGGGGAAGCCGAUCAAAAUUAAUAGACAAAAUGGGUAGUACAUUAUUUCUUUUACAUUGACAAACACUACAAGGUUGAAUCAGCUCAGUCGACGAGAAGUCAGCGUGGACGAUGCAGUCGGAUGGACGGGACUAGACUAUGGAAGGGGACCGGGCGAAGGAUGCACAAUCUUCACAGGUGCGGCUAAGUACUUACGGAUGAAGAUUGUAUAUGCUAAUUCGCCUUGUAAACAGUAAAGCCGGUGAAUAUUUCCUCAAACUGGACAUGAGAUUUAACACAUCUACUAAUUAUCAACUCCAACAGUUUAUUUGAAGAGCAAAUGAAACAAUUUUUGCAGUGAAAGAAAGUCUGAUGGUGGAAAUUGAAAACAUAAGGACCAGGUCGAUGAUAUAAUUGAGUUUGCUAAUUAAAUAACAAAUACAAAUUCAUUUGGUUAAGUUUACCAAUUUUUGACUCAAAUGAAAGAAUGCACCAAGAACCACAUUCUUAUCACUGUAUUAAAUAUUGUCAAUAUCACUUCAAGAAUGGCGAACAAAGCAAUCAAGAGCCAUGGCGCAAGCAUCAGGAACUGCAAUAUUAUUAGUCCUGUCCAAGUCUCCCAAAUUACGAACUUGACUAAUCCUGAAUUCUAACAGGCAUCCUGAACCAUUUUUUUAUCAGUGAGAGCAUCAGCUGUUCUUUGAAAAGUGGUCAGGGUCAGUUGAAUAUCAAUGGAAAAAUAAAGAUGACUACAUUAUGUACUGUUUCAUACACAUAUAUACGAAAUCAAUAGUGAUAACUCUAGAAAAGACAGUGCCAGAUCGUUGCUUGAAGUCAUAAUAAGCCACCAUACUGCACCACCCGCAGCCAACAAAAGGUAAAGCCAAAAUUAAUAGGCAAAAAUGGGCAGUAUAAUUAUUUACUUUACAUUGACAAGCAUGACAUGCUAGAAUAUUGUUAGAAAUUAGGGCUCAGUCUACCCUCUAUUCCUCUGCCUUGUCGUCCAUUAAUACAUACUAGUAUACAUUAUGCAGUAGUGUUCAACUCUCCUUUAUGCUUGGGUCACGACCACCUUUAUUUUAUAUGCAUGAGACUAACUGAAAGAUCGAGAAUGUCGCCUAGAGGAGGGGGGGAGGGUGAAUAGGCGCUUUAAAAUAAUUACGGUUUAGGCUUGAACAAAUACGGAAUAAACCUAACGGUUAAUUUGUCAAGCACAAAACCUAAAACGACUAGACUCAUCUAUGUGUACCAACAACUUAUGCUAAGCAAGAUAAACAACUAUGUGAUAGCAAGAUAUAUGACAACAAAUAAUAUGGCUAUCACAAAGUAAAGUGCAUAAGUAAAGAACUCGAAUAAAAGAUAACCGAGGCAUGUGGAGACGACGAUGUAUCCCGAAGUUCACACCCUUGCAGAUGCUAAUCUCGUUUGGAGCGCUGUGGAGGCACAAUGCUCCUCAAGAAGCCACUAGGGCCACUGUAAUCUCCUCACGCCCUCGCACAAUGCAAGAUGUCGUGAUUCCACUAAGGGACCCUUGAGAGCGGUCACCGAACCCGUAUAAAUGGUGACCCUUGGGGCGGUCACCGAACCCGUACACUUUGGCAACCCUUGGGGGCGGUCACCGGUACCCGUCAAAUUGCUCGAGGCGAUCUCCACAACCUAAUUGGAGACCCCGACGCUUGUCCGGAGCUUUACACCACAAUGAUUGAGCUUCAAACACCACCAACCAUCUAGGACGCCCAAACACCCAAGAGGAAUAAGCUCAUGGGUACCAAGCACCCAAGAGUAAUAAGCUUCUCAACUUGUAACUUCCACGUAUCACGUGGAGAACUCAAACUGAUGCACCCAAUGCAAUGGCAAGGGCACACGGAGUGCCCAAGUCCUUCUCUCUCAAAUCCCACCGAAGCAACUAAUGCUAGGGAGGAAAAUAAGAGGAAGAACAAGAAGGAGAACACCAAUAACUCAAAGAUCUAAAUCCAAGGGGUUCCCAUCACAUAGAGGAGAAAGUGAUUGGUGGAAAAGUGGAUCUAUAUAUCCUCUCUCUUUUCCCUCAAAAACUAGCAAAAAUCCAUAGAGGGAUUGAGAGUUAGCAAGUUCGAAGAAGGUCAACAAUGGGGAAGAAUACGAGCUCAAAGGAUACAGUUCAUUGGGGAAGAAGACCCCCUUUUAUAGGUGGGGAAAAACCAACCGUUAUGCUCACAUCCCGCACAGAGCGGUACUACCGCUCGUUCUCACGGUACUAUCGCUAGGGGUCGCGGUACUACCUCAAAGGGUAGCGGUACUACUGCUUGCGAGUGGUACUAAAAAAAUACAUCCGUGCGUACCACCGCUGGACUUGUGAUGAGUUUUUGGUCCAGAGCGGAAGUAGCCACGGAAGUAGUAAAAAAUCACAUCCCCUCCAAGCGGUAGUACCGCUGCAGCUUUUAUAAGGACACCAAAACUGACACAACUUCUGCAAACGGACUCCGAAUUCAACGAAACCAAGUUUGUUGGAAAGCUAGCGACAAGGGCUAACGCAAUCUUGAUAAAAAACAAUAAGAAGCAAAUUAUAAAAGUCCCAUAAGAAAAUGGUGAGAACCCUUCCUCGAAUAAGACUGGUAAAACCUCCAACACCGAAAACGCAAUAGAAAAAGCAUGUGAACUCCAUUUCCGAUGAACUCGAGCUUGUCAAGAAGAUGACCAUAAGCUCCCAAUCUCACAAGGAGAAAACCAAACAAGAACCAAGAAAGAUGAUGCAAGCAUGCAAUGGUUUGAGCUAUCUACGAACGAUACGACAAACGAUCCUAUAACUCGGUCUCCAAACUACCACCAUGAGACCAGUAAAAUGGAGAACUUAUCAAGGCCAAACCUUUGCCUUGCACAAAGUCCACUUGAGCUAGAUGUAGACGAUCUUGACUUCCUCAAGUAGGACCACCUUUCUUGAUUGCGUUGGCUCGGUGAAGACUAGUAGAUUUCUUCCUCAUACUCCAUUAUGGGUGAGCCACUUUUCAGCACAUCUUCACAAGUCCAUUAUCACCACAAUGGACGGAAAUAUUCAAGCACUUGAUCUCUUCGUGAUGCAUCACUUGAACGUGCACACCGCAACCUAACCCCACAAAGAACUCUCACGAAGACUAUGGAUUAGUACACAAAGCAUAAUGGUCAAUGCUUACCAUACCAUGGGAUCACUUGAUCCCUCUCGAUACAUCUUCUACACUUUGUGAUUUGAUCAACUUGAUUCACUCUUGACUUAGUCUUGAUCAACCUUGAACCUUUCCAACUCUCUUCAUUUGGAUGAUGCCUUGAAGGUAAGCAUGAAUGAUCACACAAUCUUCUUCUUCAAGACAUGCUUGCAAUAAGACCAACUCUCACAUGACCAAUCUUUGGAUAAUUCCUUAAUAUCACCUUGGUCAACACAUAAACUCCUUGAAACCAACACAUGGACUUCAAGAAGUGCCUAUGGAAAAAUCCUUCAAAUAUAACUCAAUGCAACCAUUAGCCCAUCGAGAAUGUCAUCAAUUACCAAAACCACACUUGGGAGCACCGCAUGUCCUUUCAAUCUCCCCCAUUUUGGUAAUUGAUGACAAUCACUUUCAAGAGAGUUUAUAUAAGGAAUUAUGCAUCACCAUGCAAUGCAACAACCAAUGAUCCAUGAGUAUGAGAUGCAGAUGCUUAGGAACAAAACCAAAGCAAUGCAUGAGUAUGAGAUGCAAAAGCUUAGGAACAAAACCAAAGCAAGAACAAAACUCUGAAAACUUCUCCACAAAACUCUCUGAAACUUCUACCCAAUUAGCAUCGAUUGCGAAAAUGGGAGAAAAGCUUAGAAGGCCAAUAAAUUGUGUUCCUCCAUAAAUUGUCUAUUUCUCAACAAGAGAGUGGAAUGCAAUACACAUAUCCAACAGUAAAUACUUGGAGGAAGACAAACUAUGUUGAGGCCCAAAGAUUGCAAAAGAAUGAUAUGCCACAAAAACAUAACAAAGAGAUAAACAAGCAAUAAAGCAAUCAAAAGAUACCAAUUGAAGCAAGCUAUCAAAAGAUACCAAUUGAACCAACUAGACCAAUGAUCCUACGUGCCACAUGAAUAAAAGAUAUUAUGGUAUGAACAAAGGAGUGUUCUGGAGAAACUAGAGAAGCUCCCCAUGAUUUGUGCACAAUUUAGUUUUGUAAUUGGAUACAACGAGCACAAAAUAGGAUCGUCACUCCCCCAAGAUCAAUAGAACCUCACGACAAGUGCAAGAGAGCAAUGGAGUGUUCUAAAGACACUAGUGAAGCUCCCCAUGAUUUGUGCACUCCUUAGAAUAUUUGUAUUAGGAUACCAAGUGCACAAAAUAGGAUCAUCACUCUCCGAAAAUCAAUAGAAACUCACAACAAGUGCAAGUGAGCAUGUAGGAAACAAAGCCUAGCACUUGCGACAAACAAAUGGUUGAGCAACAUAUAAAAGAGGCAACUUAAGAGUAGGCUCAACCAAAAUGAUGUGUGUGAGUCAUGGGAAAGCACUUGAGAAGACUAAUGUAAGGGUGAGCAUUAAGCAUCAACAUAGUCUUGAAUAGUGGAGAUACAAGGUGCAUGACAUGUCCUUCCCACACACACCAAGCAAAUAGAUAGACAAGCUUACUAAAAGGUGAAAUUACAACAAAGCUUGUGACAACCCAUGGUGAAGAUAGAAAGUGAAAGCCUCAUCAAGACGAGGGAUACCAAAGCCUCGUCAAGACAAGCAUGAGGAAAAAGAUCUUCACCACACAAGAGUGCAUCAAGAUGCAACGAGAUAUGACCCACACUCAAGGAACACACUUUCACGGAGCCACCAAAGAAAUAACAAGAGAAAGAAACUGUGGGCGUGAAACAAGGGGAUAUCAACUAGAAAUGCAACUUCUCUCAAGUGUAUAAGAUUCUAGGUAGAUGAAUAUCAAUCCAAAAAGAAGGAUGUACACACGAAAUAAUUACACACAGGAAAGAACAAGAUAUCCACAAGGAAGUCAUAAAUAUACCAAUAAAAUAUUUGCUUGAAAGCAUAGCACAUGGCUAGAUAAGGUAUUAUUGUAUAUAAAUGAAGUCCAACCACACAUCCAUCAAAGACAUCACAACUAGCAACAAGAGAUCAUCGUUGGUAUGCUUUAAGGAAGGAGACAAGUAUCACGAGAAAGAAUGAAUUACAUGCCAUGAUGCAACCUACACAAGGUUGAUGCAAGAAAUGUGUGCAUGAAGUAGAUAAUGAUACUUGUUACUGAGAUAUCAAUAGAAGGAAGUAGUAGAUACCAAUUAAAGGUAGAUAGUAGUUCAUUGAUCAUCCUCGCUUGACUCCAAUAAGCACAUGGUGACACCACCUUCCUUGUGAGUGAGCCGAGCAUCCAAUGCAUUUCCAAUUGUUCCUAGACCAACAACACAGACAAAAUGGUACCCAAACUCAUUGGGACCAAGGAGCUAGAGAACCAACAAUACAUAGGACAAACUCCACAUAAAUAUGUGCAUAUAGAUAUGAAAAUGAAUUUCAUGCACAUCUCAUCCAAUUUGAGACUUGGUGGAGUUUCCCCUAUAUAUAGGGUCAAAGAAAGAAAGCAUGCCGAGGAAACUACAUGAAGUUAAUAUGCAUGCUCAAGACUUUCAAGAACCGAUACCAAAUGACAAAGAAAUACCAAGUGAAGAAAAGAUACCAAAUGAAUAAAUCAUCACUUGGAGGAUAUCCAUAAAAGAUACAUCUAGGAAUGAGAUAUCCAUUGAUACAUGCAAAAAGAAACAUGUCAAACUCCCAAACGAGAGAAUGGUUUCAAACAAACCAAGUGCUCUACAAAGUUUCAUGAUGGCACAAAGUACUAAAAAGAAACGAUUUUCAUUCCACCAACACAAACUUGAUAAGGAUCACAAGGUGAGCGUUCUAAGAAAAAUAGGAUAGCUCCCCCAAGCAUUGUGCAUUAGAGAGAAUUUGCAUUUGAAUACAAAAUGCACAAGAUGGGAUCACCACUUUCACUAUAUCUAUACAAACACUAGACAAGCUCAAGGAAAUAACAAUAUCCACAAGUGGUAUGGAAUACAAUGGGAGAUGACACAAUCCUAGGCAAGAGAUAAGGCAAAUAAAAGCAAAGGCCAAUGUAAAGAUGAUCAAUAAUUUCUACCGCACAUAAGUGAGUACCAAUUGUCAUAAGACAAGAAGUAUUUGGAAAUAGUUCCUGUUGGUAGAUAACAAGGAUAUCCAACAUCAUCUUCACACCAAACACAAGCAAAUUGCAACUUGUAGAGCUAACAUGCCACCUAGGAACAAGAUAAUUUACAAUAUCAAUUCUAGGUGACAAUAUCUCAAAUGUACACAUUUUCUAGGCUUGUAAUAUGCACAUAGUAUAUUACUCCCCCAUAAUGUGAUACCAAUAAAAAUUUAACAAGAGGCAAUAAGAGGAUUCAACAAGAUAUAAUUAAUGGACUAUUUAAAAUUUUAAUUUCUCAUGAGAAGACAUACCACAUAGCGACUAGAUAAUCUUGUAAUAUCAAUACUAUAUGAUAUUCCUCAUGUACACACAUUUAUAGGAUUGUGGGGUGCACAAAGCACAUCACUCCCCCACAAUGGGAUAUUCCAUUAAUCUCUCACAAGAGCCAAUUAAGAUACAAACAAUAUGCAAAAGGCUCAAAACACAACUCACACAUACAUGAAGUGCAAACCAACAUACACAUACUUGAUUACUCAAAAUAAGCAAAUUGGAAGCACACAUAUACAAACACAUGCAAGGAACAAAGCCAAAACAUGCAAAGGGGCAAGUAACUUUCAAUGUAAACAAUUUGAGUACAAGUUACCGAAAGGAGGCACAUUGGAUAUAGUAUAGAAACUUGAUAACCCAAUUGACUUGGCUUGAGACAAUAAGAAUGAUGAAGUCCCCUUAAUUCUUCAUAAUGUAGCCAAGUCUCUAAUGCCCUUCAAAGACACAUAUUGAUCAAAUUUGAACUUGUUGGUCCCCAACCAAGUUGGGUCCUAAGAGGUUAGUCACAAUAGGCUUCGCUACCCAAGUGGUUCUUUUCUUAACACCACUUUGAGUACCAACAAAUUUGGCAAACACAUUGCCAACCUUAUCCUUCCCGAGAGAAUAGAAAUCAACAAUUAUAAUAGGGUUGGAUAGGGUACCAUUCGUGCAUGAAGAAGCAACAUGACCUUUUUCACGACAUAGAUAGCAACGUCUACUCUUCACUUUCUUCUCACUUGAUUUCUAAACUUGAGAAGCAUUAGCUUGAGUUUUCUUUGGAAGAGGCCUUUCUUCAACUUGAGGUUGAGCAUGAGAAUGAACUUGUGGCCGCUUCCCUUGUUGCUUAUCACUGAUGACCUUCUUCUUCAAAGGGCAAGAUCUAACAUGAUGCCCUUCAAUUUUGCACUUGAAGCAAAUGAUCUUGGACGGAUUCUUGACUUGUUUUUGGACCUUAUUCUUGUUGCUCUUGGACUUCUUCUUCUUAUUGGAGUUGAAUCCAAGUCCACCUUUUUCAUUGGGGGAUUUUUUCACACUCAAGAUAUUGUUGAGUGUGGCCUUCCCUUCAUGACACUUUUCCAAGUUUUUCUUCAAAGAAGUGACUUGGGCCUUGAGCUCUUUGAUUUCUUCUACAUGGUUAGUCUCAACACAAGCACUAGAGGAAGUAUAAGCUUCAUCGUUAGAGCAACAAGGCAAGGAAAGCAAUUCAUCACAAGAUGUACCAAUGUUAUGCAUGGAUGAAUCACGAGGACUAGCACAAGGCAAUAUAGCAUUUUUGACUAAAAGUAGUGCUAGUAUCCACAUGAGGCUCACUAGAUGUUACCUUAGCAAUCAUGGCCUCAUGAGCUAUCUUUACCACAUAAUGGGAUACAAGAAGAUCAUCAUGAGAGCUUGAGAGCUUUUCAUGGCUUUCUUCCAAUUUCCCAUAAUUGCUAGAUAGCAACUCAAGUUGAGCCCGAAGCGCAACAUUCUCCUUCAAAAUGGAUGCUUCAUAAGUAAUAGAGUUAGUAGCACAAGCAUCAUCAAUAAUAGCAAGAGGAGAAGGAAACUUGGCAAUGUCUUUAGAAUAUGAAGCUUUAAGUUGAGCAUGAGACUUGGUGAGUUUGAUGAGCUCACUCUUAAUGACCCUUGAGCCAUUUUCGAGGUGCCUAGAGUCCUCAAGGAGUUUAGCAUGCGCAACUUCAAGCUUCUCAUUUUUAGUUUCAAAAACAUUGGCCACCUUCAAGAGCUCUAUCAUGAGAUUCCUUCACUCUAGAUAAUUCUAGAGAAAAAGUCUCCUCAAGAGAUUCCUUGGUGGUUCGUUCAAGUUCAAGAGCUUGGGAGAGGUCCGCAAUCUCAUUAGCGUAAUCACGCUCAUGACAUUCCAUUUUAUCAAUGGUGACCUCAUGCUUGUCAAGACGAGAUUCCAACUCAUCAAUAUAUUUCUUGCCCUCAAUAGCAAUAGACAUGAUUUCCAUGAAGUUGGAAUGAGCAAUUUUAUUCUUAAGAAGAGCUUUAAAAUUCAUUUCCCCUUAAUAUUUAAGGAGGCAACAUUAUCAUUCUCUUCAUCAUAAUCAACAUCGUCAUCAUUCUUGCCAUCAUCAAUAUCAUCACAAGAUAUAUUAGGAUUCAAAGUGGGAGAUACCUUUGAAGCCCUGGCCAUAAGGCAAACUGCAAUAGAUGAUGAUGUAGGAUCCCUUGAAGCACCAUUCAAGACCACAUCUUGUUCCAUGGGGUGUUGGGUUUCCUCUACAUUAUUAGCACAACAAUUCGAGGAAAUGGAUGCAUUUUUAUCAUGGCAACAGGACAUAGUAAGCAUAUCAUCAUGAGAUUUAGUCAAGAAAUUUCUACAAGAUAUGCAAGGACUAUCAACACAAGCAUGUGAAACAUUUGGAGUGCUCGAAGUGCUAAAGUCCAAAGAUGAAGCAUUCCAAUAAGAAAGUGAUGAAGGAUUAUCAACACUAAGCCCACUAUCAUCAUUGCAAUGCACACCACUACUCACCAUGUCAUUACCUUGUGGCAAACCACAUGUAGGUGAAGUAGAAGAAGUUGAGAACACAACACGACUGGAGGUGGAGGGGGAACAAUCAUCCCCACAAAACUUGGACACCCCAUAUUUAUCUUGAAGCUUUGUCCACAACUCAUGAGCAUCCCGGAACGACAUGAGUUGAAAUAUAACUACAUUGCUCAAAGCAUCGAAAAGCAUAUUAGAAGCUUGAGCAUUGAGAUAAGAGUUUUUCUCAUCCUCUAAAUAUAAUCUUUGGGGAUCCUUUGGAGGCGAAAAUCCCAUAUCUACAAUUCGCUCUAAAUUUGGGUCCAUGACCCUAAAGAGAUUAAGCAUGUGAAUUACCCAAACAUCAAAAAUUGUGUCAUCGAAACUAAGAGUGUCAGAGAAUCCUAAUCCCCUAGUCGACAUCUUUACUCUCUAGGCGGUUAAGCCUAAACACGAGAGACGAGGCUCUGAUACCAAUUGAAAGAUCGAGGAUGUCGCCUAGAGGGGGAUGAAUAGGCGCUUUAAAAUAAUUAUGGUUUAGGCUUGAACAAAUGCGGAAUAAACCUAGCGGUUAAUUUGUCAAGCACAAAACCUAAAACGGCUAGGCUCACCUAUGUGCACCAAUAACUUAUGCUAAGCAAGAUAAACAACUAUGUGAUAGCAAGAUACAUGACAAGGAACAAUAUGGCUAUCACAAAGUAAAGUGCAUAAGUAAAGAGCUCGGGUAAGAGAUAACCGAGGCACGCGGAGACGACGAUGUAUCCCGAAGUUCACACCCUUGCAGAUGCUAAUCUCCGUUUGGAGUGGUGUGGAGGCACAAUGCUCCCCAAGAAGCCACUAGGGCCAUCGUAAUCUCCUCAAGCCCUCGCACAAUGCAAGAUGUCGUGAUUCCACUAAGGGACCCUUGAGGGCGGUCACCGAACCCAUACAAAUGGAGACCCUUGGGGGCGGUCACCGAACCCGUACACUUUGGCAACCCUUGGGGCGGUCACCGGUACCUGUCAAAUUGCUCGGGGCGAUCUCCACAACCUAAUUGGAGACCCCGGCGUUUGCCCGGAGCUUUACACCACAAUGAUUGAGCUCCGAACACCACCAACCGUCUAGGGCUCCCAAGCACCCAAGAGGAACAAGCUCAAGGAUACCAAGCACCCAAGAGUAAUAAGCUUCUCAACUUGUAACUUCCACAUAUCACGUGGAGAACUCAAGCCGAUGCACCAAAUGCAAUGGCAAGGGAGCACGGAGUGCCCAAGUCCUUCUCUCUCAAAUCCCACCGAAGCAACUAAUGUUAGGGAGGAAAAUGAGAGGAAGAACAAGAAGGAGAACACCAAGAACUCCAAGAUCUAGAUUCAAGGGGUUCCCCUCACAUAGAGGAGAAAGUGAUCGGUGGAAAAGUGGAUCUAGAUCUCCUCUCUCUUUUCUCUCAAAAACUAGCAAGAAUCCAUAGAGGGAUUGAGAUAUAGCAAGCUCGAUGAAGGUCAACAAUGGGGAAAGAACACGAGCUCAAAAGAUAAGGUUCAUUGGGGAAGAAUACAACCUUUUAUAGGUGGGGAAAACCAACUGUUAUGCUCACAGCCCGAACAGAACGGUACUACCGCUCGUCCUCACGGUACUACCGCUAGGGGUAGCGGUACAACCUCAAAGGGUAGCGGUAUUACUACUUGCGAGCGGUACUAAAAAAAUACAUCCGUGCGUACCACCGCUGGACUUGUGACGAGUUUUUGGUCCGGAGCGGAAGUAGCCACGGAAGUAGCGGCGGUAGUACCACUCAAGUGGUAGUACCGCUCCCAAGAGCGGUAAUAAAAAAAUUACAUCCCCUCCAAGCGGUACUACCGCUGCAGCUUUUAUAAGGACACCAAAACUGACACAACUUCUGCAAACGGACUCUGAAUUCAACGAAACCAAGUUUGUUGGAAAGCUAGCGACAAGGGCUAACACAAUCUUGAUAAAAAACAAUAAAAAGCAAAUUAGAAAAGUCCCAUAAGAAAAUGGUGAGAACCCUUCCUCGAAUAAGACUGGUAAAACCUCCAACACCGAAAACGCAAUAGAAAAAGCAUGUGAACUCCAUUUUCGAUGAACUCGAGCUUGUCAAGAAGAUGACCAUAAGCUCCCAAUCUCACAAGGAGAAAACCAAACAAGAACCAAGAAAGAUGAUGCAAGCAUGCAAUGGUUUGAGCUAUCUACGAACGAUACGAUCAAGCUACUCACUUGGGAUCCCCCCUUGAUAGUACGACAAACGAUCCUAUAACUCGGUCUCCAAACUACCACCAUAAGACCAGUAAAAUGGAGAACCUAUCAAGGCCAAACCUUUGCCUUGCACAAAAUCCACUUGAGCUAGAUGUAGACGAUCUUGACUUCCUCAAGUAGGACCACAUUUCUUGAUUGUGUUGGCUCGGUGAAGACUAGUAGAUUGCUCCCCCAUACUCCAUUAUGAGUGAGCCACUUUUCGGCACAUCUUCACAAGUCCGUUGUCACCACAAUGGACGGCAAUCUUCAAGCACUUGAUCUCUUCGUGAUGCAUCACUUGAACGUGCACACCGCAACCUAACCCCACAAAGAACUCUCACGAAGACUAUGGGUUAGUACACAAAGCGUAAUGGUCAAUGCUUAACAUACCAUGGGAUCACUUCAUCCCUCUCGGUACAUCUUCUACGCUUUGUGAUUUGAUCAACUUGAUUCACUCUUGACUUAGUCUUGAUCAACCUUGAACCUUUCCAACUCUCUUCGUUUGGAUGAUGCCUUGAAGGUAAGCAUGAAUGAUCACACAAUCUUCUUUUUCAAGACAUGCUUGCAAUAAGAUCAAUUCUCACAUGACCAAUCUUUGGAUAAUUCCUUAAUAGCACCUUGGUCAACACAUAAACUCCUUAGAACCAACACAUGAACUUUAAGAAGUGUCUAUGGACAAAUCCUUCAAAUAUAACUCAAUGCAACCAUUAGCCCAUAGAGAAUGUCAUCAAUUACCAAAACCACACAUGGAGGCACCGCAUGUCCUUUCACUAAUACUUGAUCAUACAACUCAUGAAUCUCAUCAGUUCCCUAAUCACAUAAAUCUACAACAAAACUCUGAUAGAGCUUCAACCUACCUUCAUCUUAGGCCUGUAUGGUUUGGCUGGGGUCUACUGAUGCAAUUUCUCGAGUUGCAACUAGUGUUUAUGAGCUAAAAUCCAUAACAAAAUGCAUAUCAAAUUCUUAAUAAAUUGGGUUUCACUAGAUAUGCACAACAUGGUAGUAUAGGCAACCAUAUGCUGGUAACACAUCUAAUCUAUAUAUCCCUAAGUUGAAAGCCUAUCUUGUGAGAUUGCAUUCACGGUGUAGAAUACACUCAUACACUGUUGAUGGGACACAUAACUCACAAAGAGAUCCAUUCACCCAGCAAGCACGAUUUGGCGGAAUACUAAUGCAACCAUGCACCCACCAAACGGCGCUUCAUGUACUACUAGUGCAACCCUGAGGACGCCAGUUGAUAUAAUAUUUCAUGGGCCAUUAACUUGAAUUCUCGGUGUCUCCCUUUCCCACAUCGGCAUUUAUAUACGCAUGGCAUUUGCUAAUCUCAUCAAUUUGCCGUUUUCAUCAAUCUCAUCUUUCUGAAGGAAAAGAGAAAAGAGAUUUUGGUUGUGUGCCUACUUUGCUACUUCGGCAACGUCACACACGAAAGCUAUUGUUAUGUGGGUCCGCCCGUGCACGCAUUGCAAACAACAAUGAAGGUUGUGAAGCUCUAGUGAGGCCAUUUAAAUAGGGCAUACAGGGCUAUGCAAAUCGGGGACAUCAUUGCGGAGAGGAUGGCACAUGGAUAUUUUAAUUCAUGGAGAUCUUGAUGUCAACUUUGGUCUAAUAAAGUACUACACACUUUGUUCCUAAAUGUAAGACGAUUUGGCACAUAGGGUGUAUUUAGGAACAUAGGGUGUAUUUGAUAGCGCUCUAUAAAUUAGCAUAUAACUCGUGAACAUGUAGCCUGGUGUGAUUAACAAUUUUAGAAGUCUUGGGCAAAAAUCUCCAGGGCAAACAGAGUGCAAAACAUACACAGCGAACACGUUUGCAUACCGCUUACUCAGUACACCAAUCUUGAAGUGUGCAUUUACAGUAUAAAUAGAAAUAGGCCAUACUGAUGAGCAAAAAAAUGUUUAUUUCCACUAAAGAAUCGAGUAACUGCUUUCAUGGUCGUAUAUGUUACAAAGGAUAUAAAUAUGAAACUACCAAACCCCCAUUUGGAUCCUUGCACCAACCACAACCAACACAAGGGGAAGCCGAUCAAAAUUAAUAGACAAAACGGGCAGUACAUUAUUUCUUUUACAUUGACAAACACUACAUGGUUGAAUCAGCUCAGUCGACGAGAAGUCAGCGUGGACGAUGCGGUCGGAUGGACAGGACUGGACUAUGGAAGGGGACGGGCAAAAGGAUGCACAAUCUUCACAGGUGCGCCUAAGCACUUACGGAUGAAGAUCAUAUAUGCUUAUUCGCCUUGCAAACAGUAAAGCUGGCGGAUAUUUCCUGAAGCUGGACACAAGAUUUAAAACACCUAAUUGUUAACUCCCAACACUUCAUUUCAAGAGUAAAGGAAACAAUUUUUGCAGUGAAAAGAAGUUUGAUGGUGGAAACUGAAGAUAUAAGGACCAGGUAG
rnacentral:lncRNA from 1 species